UUGGGGGCGGGGGGCAACAAAAGAGCCAAGAAAAUCGAAUUGUUAGAAGAUUCAGCAAAUCCUCUCUCUUGCAAAGACUUUAGACCUCAAGUGUAAUGGUAAAAGGUAAAGUCUAAUGGGAAAAUCUAAUAUUCUUCACUCACAGGAAAACAUUUUCCAUCAAAAAGUGUGUAUAACUUACCAAUAGAAGUCAAUUUCCUUACAACAUCUAUCUUGACUUUUAACUUCAUAUUGCCUGCUCCAACAAACAUUUAGACGUUAUUCGAAAUUUCAUUAAAACACUCUUGUUAAUAUCAUUAUAAAUUUAAAUAUAACUUUGUCAGAAAAUUAAAAACUUUUCACUUGCCAACCGAACACCAAAAACAUCUUCCUGGAGAACGCUUUUCAUGAAAAAUGGCAUUUGUCAUACCAACAACAACAACAACAAACCCAGUGUAUUCCCACCUAGUGGGGUCUGGGGGGUUAAGAUGUACGCAGUCCAUACCUCUACCUCUAAAGAAGUAGAAAGGCUGUUUCCGAUAGACCCCCGGCUCAAGUCACGAGAUACCACACAAACCAUAGUAAAGCACAGAACUAGAUUACAUAACAUAAAUACGGCACCCAUAAGUAUUAGAAAACAGAGGAAAGCACACAGAUUCGUAAUAAAACAUAGAACACGGAAUCAUAACAAGAAUAAAACCCCCACCAAGUAAUUCCCUACCCUAGCAACCCAAACCGGCCCUAGUCUUAUGCCCUAAUUCGCGUCCUCCAGACCUUCCUAUCUAGGGUCAUGUCCUCGGUGAGCUGUAACUGCUCCAUGUCCCGCCUAAUCACCUCACCCCAGUACUUCUUCGGCCUACCCCUACCCCGCCUAAAACCAUCCAACGCUAGCCUCUCACACCUACGAACCGGGGCAUCCAUGCCCCUCCUCUUCACGUGUUCGAACCAUCUCAAUCGGGCUUCCCGCAUCUUGCACUCCACCGGAGUCACACCAACCUUCUCCCGGAUAGUCUCAUUCCGCACUCUAUCCCCUUUUGUCAUACCAAACUAUGAAAUAUACAUCUAUCUAGAUAAAGAACGUGUAUGGUAAACUUCUUAACACUUCUUAUCCGUCAAUGGUAACAAACAAAUACACCCCCUUUCGAUAUUUUUGAGCCCCAGUCAAAAGAAAACAAGGAAAAUUAUACUACUAAGUUUAAUUGACAAUGUCCAAUCGCUGAUACAGCAGUAUUGACCUCUGAAUCUAACAUACAAAUGCAACAUUUUAUGUAUCAGCAAGCACUACAGAAGCACAGACAAAUGAGAGCUUGUAAGAAUAUUAUUUACUUGUGGCCCAAAUUUACUUGUGGUCCAAGUUUACUUAUUACCCAAGUAAUGACCACAAUUAAAGAAUAGAUCUCGUACGCCAGUUACUUAUGGAGUACAGGAUUAGGUCUUAACCUCUAUAAAUUGGUCCUCCCUCCUCCCAUUAACGUCACCACAUACUCUCCUCUCUUUUUUCAUCACUAAAGAUUGUGGUAACAUAAGACAGGGGAAAGGAGGUAGAAACCAAUUUUUGUAUUAACGCUUCGGCUAUUCUCUGUGAUGAUGUCUUCUGCCUCAGGUAUGUUUUCUAUAUAGCAUCUCUAUAAGAUUAUUGUGUUCAAGAUCCUGAUGUGCAUGAAGUGUUUAAAGUUUACGAGGCUUACAAACUCUUAUCCACUUGUACCAUCCUUAUGUGCUGAGUGAAUGACGUUAUCCAAAAUUCACC
rnacentral:lncRNA from 1 species